rnacentral:lncRNA from 1 species
CUUCUUACAUAUGCCAAUAUUGAGCAUUGCAUUUAGGUUCUCUACAAUAUAAGCAUAAUUUUUUUAACGAUGUUGUAUCUUUUUUUAUUCAAUAAGAGAUUUAAAAUAUGUCAUUGUUGUUCUCGUUGUGUUCAAGCUUUAGUAUAUCAAAGCAAUUGAACUAAUAGAGGUGGAUUCGAACACGAGGAAAGACUGGUCAUAUGAAUUGGGUCUGUUAGUGUCAUAAUUAAUUGUACUCUGGCUAUCUGAAAUCAUCUAUCAAACUAUAAAACAUCAAGACUUACUACUUCCAUCUUGAUUCAACACAUAAUCCAUUCUACGACUAUCAAUUCAAUAAUACUUCUCUCAAUCACAAUUCUUCAUAAGCAAAUAAUAAAAGCAAAGAAAAAAAAGAAGUAGCACCAAGCUUACCCCGGCUUAUGACUCUCACAGUCUGGCUCCGAUCUCUCUUUCCUCAACACCUUUAUCCUACCAAAAAGAUGAUCCAUUAGCCAGUGGAUUCAAAAGGUUAUGAUCCUUUGAAUUCUUAACCAUUUAUUCCACUAACAACCUACUGUUACCAAUUAAACUGCCUAACCAUCAAUCUAAUUCUCAAGGUUAUCAAUAAUUAAGCAGUAACUUAUAACAAAGUU